UCUCUCGCUUUCUCUCUCCUUCCUCUUUCUCUCUCUCCUCCCGAUUAGGAUCGGCUCAUAUGAGCUUAAUGCCAGUUUCGGUUUGGCUUUUCGAGCCGCCUCCUGAACAGUUAAGGUACCCAAAAAAGGAGUCCUAACCCGAUUCAUUUAGCCGAGACGCCGCAGGCAAAGCGGAGAGCCGGAGCUCCUGACCUCUCCCACUCAACAGCGCGAAACCCGGUCGCGGCUGCUGGUCGCCCCUUCGACCUCACUUGACUUUCAGUUGACACGGACCGACCGCUCCUGCCGUGCUGCUUCGUGUUUCAUCAAAUUGCCCUUUGGAGACCACGGCCAAGACAUUUUAAGAGCCGGCUCAAGUUUGGGACCGGGACGAGCUCAACUGGGGGACGGGGGACGGGGGGGAGAAAGUGGGUACCCCCUACCGUUCUUCCAGUGCGCGGAUUUCUUCGCCAGGGAGGAGACCCGCCUUGCAGGUUUCACUCACUCCCGGGCAGGUAAAACCCCGCCUCAGCAGCGCGCGAGGCGUAAGCGCCUUCCAAGGCCCUCCGCCCCGGCCCUCCCUGGCGGCGGAGGGGUUGCGGUCCCGCGUUUCUGAGGCGCUGUCUCGGCUGAGGAGAGGCGUCGAAAGCGAGCGGAACGAGCGCUGCCUACCCGCCCAUGACAACCAGCGCAUUUAUCUCCAUAAACAGAAUUUACUAUAUCCAGGUAUGAGAGCAUUAAGCUCUGAGCUACACUGACGGUAUGCCAUUACUCUGUCACACGCUGGCGGUAGCUUUUGUUCAGAUCCUUCUAGUUUCAGGCAACUGGAUUUUAGCCAAGAACAUCAACUUCUACAACGUGAGACUUCCAGUAGACCCUACUCCAUUUCCAAGCAGUUUCAAGUGCUUUACUUGUGACAAUGUUAUUGACAAUUACAACUGUAACAGAUGGGCUGAAGAUAAAUGGUGUCCUCAGAACACUCGGUACUGUUUAGCAGCCCAUCACUUUACUAGUCAUGGAAGGAGCCUCUCUGUCACAAAGAAAUGUGCUACCAGGGAAGAAUGCCAUUUCGUUGGCUGCCAUCACCACAGAGAAACUAGUCAUACAGAGUGCAUUUCCUGCUGCGAAGGGAUGAUCUGCAAUGUAGAUAUACCCACAAAUCACACAAAUGCUGUUUUUGCGGUACCGCAUGCCCGGAGGAUAUCAGGAGGUAGCAGACAAACUAUUAGCAUCUUCUUGCUGGUCAUACUCCUCAUAGUUUUCAAGUUAUGACAUGACUCCCCUCAGGCAGAAGGAAUUUGUCGUCUGGAGUUACAUGAAGACAAUCUUUGAUGAAGAAGGAGUUGUAAGAGGCCUGUUAUAUGAAUAAAAGCGCUGCUGGUUAUUUGAAGACUGCUGGCCAUAACUCUCAGAUAUUGGUGCCAAGAAAACCCAAGCACAAUGGCCAGAUAUUAUGUCAACUUGACUAGUUACCAGAAAUCUCGGACGUCUUUGUGUGGAGCUUAGAACAAUUUGUGCUUUGGCACAUUAUUGUAGCAAGUUAUUACUGUACAAUUUUGAAGUAUUAAAAUUCUUCCUCAGCUGAAAUAAUAUGCUUUCUGAAGUGGUGAUACAAUAUUCUUAUUUUAUAUCCAAACUCUUCCUAGUUUUGAGGGGGUCCCUACCUAGCUGUAAUCCAAACCCAUUUCUGAUGUUGUUCCAAUUUUUUGCUGUCCCUACUGUGGGCUCCUGUAUUCUAACACUACAGUAGCCACUGUAGUAGCAUCAUCGGAUUGAGGGGGAAACGGAUGGAAAUGGUAAGGUUUGGUAAUAGUCCAUUUUGGGUCUGGAGACAUUGGCAUGUGUCCAACUAUGCAAGUUUGGCUUGAUGCAGUGAAUAAAUAGUUAUUAUUAGGAGUUCUUCAAAAAGGUAGAAUAGUUGAGAAACACUGAGUUAGUUCCACACCUCAAAUAUCUAUAACAAGACUGUGCCUUUUCUCCACAUUGCCCUUGCUGGCCAUGAUUUCCAAAUAGUAUCAGUAUAGUAGGAUUACCUCUUCCUCAUGAGUUGCACUUAUGCUGGAGGACUGGGGACUUAUCCAAAUCAUCUAGAGAAGUAGAGAGUUCAGAACAACUGGUUGGUUUGUUCCCCACUGAGAAAUAUGAACAGGAAAGAGUUAUGAUAGGUAAACCCAGAGUAAUGGACUUCCAACUCUGUUUGAAGUGCACAACAUUAAAAAAAAAAAAAAACUUGUUUCCUAAGUGAUCCAAGACAAUUUAAUGUGAAUCACCUUGAGCUGUAGCUCAGUCUGUGAGGGAAACAAUAUAUAUGAAACCGAUUUCAAAGGCCAUGGAAUUUAACGUUCUAUUCUGUAAGACUUGAAACUGUACAAAAAAACAGUUGCAACUUGUACUGCAGUGUGUGUUGAAUCAAUUUUAAAUAACAAACAGGUUCAUGGAAUUUCAUGAAUUCAUGGAAACAGAAUAUGGACAAAUAGAAAUAAGAAUUGAUACAAAUGAUACAAAUAAAGAAGGCUGGAAUGACUGUUUGCUGUAAGUCUUUUAGAUGAUAAGCCAUGUGCUCAUGUGUUUAUAAAUAUUCUUGUUUUUCUUCUCUGUCUUCGGGAAUUCAAGUUUACAAAUGUGUUUUAUACAUAAUAAGUACUACAUUAAACUAAUAACUUUUCAUUGGCAA